AGAGUUUGAUCCUGGCUCAGGACGAACGCUGGCGGCGUGCUUAACACAUGCAAGUCGAGGGGCAGCAUGGUCUUAGCUUGCUAAGGCCGAUGGCGACCGGCGCACGGGUGAGUAACACGUAUCCAACCUGCCGUCUACUCUUGGACAGCCUUCUGAAAGGAAGAUUAAUACAAGAUGGCAUCAUGAGUUCACAUGUUCACAUGAUUAAAGGUUUUCCGGUAGACGAUGGGGAUGCGUUCCAUUAGAUAGUAGGCGGGGUAACGGCCCACCUAGUCUUCGAUGGAUAGGGGUUCUGAGAGGAAGGUCCCCCACAUUGGAACUGAGACACGGUCCAAACUCCUACGGGAGGCAGCA
rnacentral:rRNA from 1 species